ensembl:lncRNA
GGGAUUUCAGCGGAGUGCGCGACCUUCCCGGCUGUUGUGUUUUGAUGUCCCAACCUAGAAACCUUAGCUGUCCUUUCUGGAGUUAACCUUUCACACCUUUCCAGUGGGAUCACACCCCCUGCCCCAAAUCAGCCCCAUCUUUCCUGCCUUGUGCAACGUGAAAAUACAUUUCUCCUUUUUCUCUCCUCCUCUCUUUAGAAAGAUACACACACAUAUUUAAAGACUGCCCCUGAAACCAGCCUUCUCACUUUGGAAACUUCUCACUUUGGAAACAGCUGGAGAGGGAACUAACCACAUAAACAAGUGUGGUUUUCCAAGAUCAGGCAAUUGUGUGUUGUUGGUUGUGAACGAAGAUGCGGAAACCUCAUGUCCUGCCAUUGGCAAAUAUAUACAUACCUACGUGAUUCUCUAACAGAGCUUCCUGUAUCUGUAGAUAGAUGCCAUCUGUCCGUUUCUAUGUAUCUUUCUAUAAAUAUACGCUCUCAGGUAUCUUUUCUGGUGUGCAGAAAUUGGUGCUUUGCUUCUCAAGACACAUCCAAAGUCCAGAAGUGACCCUGUGUCUGCCUCCCUGUGGGGCUGCUGUUCAUUAAAUGCCACUUGCCUCUCACCAGGGGGUCCUUUCUCAAGGUUUAGGAUCUGAUAGGUUUUGGAGAGGACUGUGGGAUUAUGGAAGUGUGGAGGGAAAUGGGAACAGUGGCCAGAGUUGGGACCCUGGAGCAGUGUCCUCUGUAGAAGAGAAUUUUGAUUGAGACCUGGGGAGGCCAGGAAAAGGACCCCUGUCAACUAGUCAGGGACCAUGUGAAAACCGGUGACACACACAUUCUAAUUGAAUAAUGGAGUGAGCUUAAUCUGAAAGAGGACACAGCAACCCACUCCAGUAUUCAUGUCUGGAGAAUCCCAUGGACAGAGGAGCCUGGCAGGCUAUAGUCUAUAGGGUCGCAAAGAGUCAGACACGAAUGAAGUGACUGGACGUGAGUGGGUGAGCUUAAUAAAGGGAAUAUCUACAUAGUGGGGGCAAGCCUCUUAAAAGAGUAAAAGGCCCUGUGCCAGCACUCUGGGUGCCAUUCCUACCCCUGCAGUGGAGGGGGUGGGGGUUGGGGGUCAUCGUCAGCAGACGGAGGGCUGGGGGCACCCGAAGGAGCCAUGGCCUUUUCUGGAAGGGUGCAGCCAGCCUGUGGGGACCCUCCAGGGAAACGACUUCUGGACCUUUCUCUCCUGCCUCCUGUGUCCUGCUGAGGCCUCCUUGGCUGAAGCCACCAGGAACCAGAGAGCAAGGGAGUUACUGAUGGGGGUCACACGGGCAUUCUUCCAGGAAAAAGGAGAGUGGAGGGUGAAUCUGGAGGGACACAGGAAGAAAAAGUGGCUCCAGCUGCCUGCCUUUCUGCUACUUGGUCUCCCAGCAGGGACCCCCUUUUCCAGAGCCUUUGGUGUUGUUGGUUUACUGGGGUUGGUAAGGAGUAAUUUUUGAAGAUAGUAUGUGGAGUUGUUGUCACCAUAUUAAUUUUAUUGCUUACUGCCAUACCUGGAACAGGAUUAGUAUAGUUAAUUCUUGUGACAACCAUGAGUUUUGAGGCAGCCAGGAGAAGCUCAGGGAGUAAGUACAACAGGCUCAGAGAGACUGAGUAACUCUCUUGAGCACACACAGCAAGUGGCAGAGGUGGGAUUCUAGUCUUUCUCAGGACCCCUUUACCAGUGGAUCUUGGCUUCUCAAGUUUGGGGCUGUGGGCUUUUCUCAGGCAGAAACCAACUGAAACUGAUAGGAAUGUAACCAAACCAGGGAAGGCAGGGAGGGAGCUGGUUUUGAGAUGACAGGCUAUGAAUGCAGCUGAGACUCCCUGGUUCUUCUUGCUCCCUUUCUGGAUGUAUGCUUCCACUGACAUGCUUUGCCAUGGUGAUUUUCCACUAGGACAAGCCCAGGGAAGGACUCUGAUUGGCUGGGUUUGGAUCCGGUACCCAUCCCUGGACCAAUCACUGUGACCCCCUGGAGUCAUAUGUCUAACCUGUGGAGAGAGUGUGGGAUCUGUGCCAGAAGAAGGAAGAAGAGGGAUGCUGAGCAGACAGUGGGUCGCGCCCCAGGCCCAGAACUGCUGCAGCCAUGGGAACGAGCGAGGCACUGGGUCUACGCAGGGAGCCUCUCUGUGGCCUCGUGGCUCUAGAGUGUUUCCUCAGCCUCUGAGAGGAGGUCCGUGCCGCCUCCCCCAGCCCCACACCUGUCAGGGUUCUAGUAUUUCUUGGUACCUGGAAUUUACCUAACUUAAAAAAAAAAAAAAUCCAGCAGUAAUGUGCACGUGUAGAAUGUUCAAACAGUUCACAACAGUGCACACAGAGAAGCACCAACCCUCUGACUUCCCUGAUCCCAGCUUCCUGGUGCCUUUUGAGUGUGACGUGGUGGUGAGAGCACAGAUGUUGGUGCCCAGCUGCCUGGGUUCAAAUCCUGACACCCUCCUUUAGUAGUUAUGUGUGUUUCUCAAGCCUCAGCUUCCCAUGUAUGAAGGGGGAAGCAUAAGAGACCUACCCCACAGAUUUGUUGUGAGAAUUCAUCGAUUUAAAACAGCUCCUGGCCCACAGGAACACUAUGAAAGUGUCACUGACAGUUUUUAUAAAAAUAAAUACAUUUAAAUGAGAUAUCUCCCCAUUUAAAUUCUGUUAUUUUUUUUAAGACUAUUUUUCAGAGCCGUUUUAGAUUUACAACAGAAUUGAGAGGAAGAUUCUGAGACUUGCUAUAUAGCCUUUCUCUGCUUCAUGUAUCGCCUUCCCCAUUGUCAACAUCACUCCGCACAUGGUACUUUCUUUUUCUUUUUUUUUUUUAACCACAGAUGAACAUAUAUUGACACACCAUAAUCCACAGUUUAUGUUG